GGCGCGAAAACUUUACAAUGCUGGCAACAGCGAUAAGGGAACCUCGAGUGCCAGGUUACAAAUCUGGCUGUCGAGAUGCCUAAAAAGCAUUUCAUAGCAAGGGCCGGGCAAGACCGGUGCCAGCCGCCGCGGUAACACCGGCGGCUCGAGUGGUAACCGUUAUUAUUGGGUCUAAAGGGUCUGUAGCCGGCCGGAUAAGUCUCUUGAGAAAUCUGGCAGCUUAACUGUCAGGCUUUCAGGAGAUACUGUCUGGCUCGAGGCCGGGAGAGGUGAGAGGUACUUCAGGGGUAGGGGUGAAAUCUUGUAAUCCUUGAAGGACCACCAGUGGCGAAGGCGUCUCACCAGAACGGACCUGACGGCAAGGGACGAAAGCUAGGGGCACGAACCGGAUUAGAAACCCUAGUAGUCC
rnacentral:rRNA from 1 species